rnacentral:rRNA from 1 species
CACGGGAGACACACGGCGGGUGCUAACGUCCGUCGUGAAGAGGGAAACAACCCAGACCGCCAGCUAAGGUCCCAAAGUCAUGGUUAAGUGGGAAACGAUGUGGGAAGGCCCAGACAGCCAGGAUGUUGGCUUAGAAGCAGCCAUCAUUUAAAGAAAGCGUAAUAGCUCACUGGUCGAGUCGGCCUGCGCGGAAGAUGUAACGGGGCUAAACCAUGCACCGAAGCUGCGGCAGCGACGCUGAUGCGUUGUUGGGUAGGGGAGCGUUCUGUAAGCCGGUGAAGGUGUGCUGUGAGGCAUGCUGGAGGUAUCAGAAGUGCGAAUGCUGACAUAAGUAACGAUAAAGCGGGUGAAAAGCCCGCUCGCCGGAAGACCAAGGGUUCCUGUCCAACGUUAAUCGGGGCAGGGUGAGUCGACCCCUAAGGCGAGGCCGAAAGGCGUAGUCGAUGGGAAACAGGUUAAUAUUCCUGUACUUGGUGUUACUGCGAAGGGGGGACGGAGAAGGCUAUGUUGGCCGGGCGACGGUUGUCCCGGUUUAAGCGUGUAGGCUGGUUUUCCAGGCAAAUCCGGAAAAUCAAGGCUGAGGCGUGAUGACGAGGCACUACGGUGCUGAAGCAACAAAUGCCCUGCUUCCAGGAAAAGCCUCUAAGCAUCAGGUAACAUCAAAUCGUACCCCAAACCGACACAGGUGGUCAGGUAGAGAAUACCAAGGCGCUUGAGAGAACUCGGGUGAAGGAACUAGGCAAAAUGGUGCCGUAACUUCGGGAGAAGGCACGCUGAUACGUAGGUGAAGUCCCUCGCGGAUGGAGCUGAAAUCAGUCGAAGAUACCAGCUGGCUGCAACUGUUUAUUAAAA